rnacentral:rRNA from 1 species
GGUAAAUUAUGUUUAUGGCCGUAACCGAUCGCGGGGGAUAACUAAUCGAAAGGUUGGCUAAUACCGCAUACGCCCUACGGGGGAAAGCAGGGGAUCUUCGGACCUUGCGUUAAUGGAGCGGCCGAUAUCUGAUUAGCUAGUUGGUGAGGUAAAAGCUCACCAAGGCGACGAUCAGUAGCUGGUCUGAGAGGACGACCAGCCACACUGGAACUGAGACACGGUCCAGACUCCUACGGGAGGCAGCAGUGGGGAAUUUUGGACAAUGGGCGAAAGCCUGAUCCAGCCAUUCCGCGUGAGUGAAGAAGGCCUUCGGGUUGUAAAGCUCUUUCGCAAGGGAAGAAAACUUAGCCUCUAACAUAGGCUGAGGUUGACGGUACCUUGAUAAGAAGCACCGGCUAACUACGUGCCAGCAGCCGCGGUAAUACGUAGGGUGCGAGCGUUAAUCGGAAUUACUGGGCGUAAAGCGUGCGCAGGCGGUUUUGUAAGUCAGAUGUGAAAUCCCCGAGCUCAACUUGGGAACUGCGUUUGAAACUACAAGACUAGAAUAUGUCAGAGGGGGGUAGAAUUCCACGUGUAGCAGUGAAAUGCGUAGAGAUGUGGAGGAAUACCAAUGGCGAAGGCAGCCCCCUGGGAUAAUAUUGACGCUCAUGCACGAAAGCGUGGGGAGCAAACAGGAUUAGAUACCCUGGUAGUCCACGCCCUAAACGAUGUCUACUAGUUGUUGGUGGAGUAAAAUCCAUGAGUAACGCAGCUAACGCGUGAAGUAGACCGCCUGGGGGAGUACGGUCGCAAGAUU